ACACACAUGCUCCACUUCUCUUUAUCUAGAGCAACUGCAAGAGGCUCCAAGUAACUGAAAACAGCAGUAAACAAACAAAAUAAACCCAAGAAUGUAGAUAGAUUGGUGAUCACAAGGUGAGAAAACUCAUGAAAAUCCAUUUAGUUUAUUAAGAAUCAAGUCAAAGCUUACAACUUUAACUUACUAAUCCUCUGUUCCUGAUGAAUCAAUGUUAUUGCACCGUUCAGAACAGAGAAACGAAACAACGAACCUGGAACUGAGAUUGAAACGACACAAACAAACACAAAAUCAGCAGAUUACGGAACUUAACCAUCGAAGCCUCUUCUCCUCCUC
rnacentral:lncRNA from 1 species